UACGGAGGGUGCAAGCGUUGUCCGGAUUUAUUGGGCGUAAAGCGUCUGUAGGCGUUUUGGUUAGUUAUUCUUCAAAGCCCGGGGCUCAACUCCGGAAAGGGGAAUAAUACUGCCAAAAUUGAAUUGUAUCGGGGCUACUGGAACUUACGGUGUAGGAGUGAAAUCCGUUGAUAUCGUAAGGAACACCGAGGGCGAAGGCGGGUAGCUAGGUACAUAUUGACGCUCAGAGACGAAAGCCAGGGGAGCGAAAGGG
rnacentral:misc_RNA from 1 species